rnacentral:rRNA from 1 species
GACACGAUGCGAAGCAGAUCUCUGGGCGUAACUGACGUGAGGAGCGAAAGGGUGGGGAGCAAACAGGCUUAGAUACCUGGUAGUCACCCAGUAAACGUUGGGAACUAGUUGUGGGUCCUUUCCACGGAUUCCGUGACGCAGCUAACGCAUUAAGUUCCCCGCUGGGGAGUACGGCCGCAAGGCUAAAACUCAAAGGAAUUGACGGGGACCCGCACAAGCGGCGGAGCAUGCGGAUUAAUUCGAUGCAACGCGAAGAACCUUACCAAGGCUUGACAUACACGAGAACGGGCCAGAAAUGGUCAACUCUUUGGACACUCGUGAACAGGUGGUGCAUGGUUGUCGUCAGCUCGUGUCGUGAGAUGUUGGGUUAAGUCCCGCAACGAGCGCAACCCUCGUUCUAUGUUGCCAGCACGUUAUGGUGGGAACUCAUGGGAUACUGCCGGGGUCAACUCGGAGGAAGGUGGGGAUGACGUCAAAUCAUCAUGCCCCUUAUGUCUUGGGCUUCACGCAUGCUACAAUGGCCGGUACAAAGGGCUGCAAUACCGUGAGGUGGAGCGAAUCCCAAAAAGCCGGUCCCAGUUCGGAUUGAGGUCUGCAACUCGACCUCAUGAAGUCGGAGUCGCUAGUAAUCGCAGAUCAGCAACGCUGCGGUGAAUACGUUCCCGGGUCUUGUACACACCGCCCGUCAAGUCAUGAAAGUCGGUAACACCUGAAGCCGGUGGCCUAACCCUUGUGGAGGGAGCCGUCGAAGGUGGGAUCGGUAAUUUAGGACUAAGUCGUAACAAGGUAGCCGACCGAACGA